rnacentral:rRNA from 1 species
GAUGAACGCUGGCGGCGUGCUUAACACAUGCAAGUCGAACGGAAAGGCCCAAGCUUGCUUGGGUACUCGAGUGGCGAACGGGUGUGAAACACGUGGGUGAUCUGCCCUGCACUUCGGGAUACGCCUGGGAAACUGGGUCUAAUACCGGAUAGGACCACAUUUUGGAUGGGGUGUUGGAAAGAUGUUCGGUGUGGGAUGAGCUCAGGGCCUAUCAGCUUUUUGGUGGGGGAAUGGCCUACCAAGGGGUCGACGGGUAGGCGGCCUGGGGGGGGGUACGGGCCCCAUGGGACUGCGGAAAGGGCCAGACGCCUACGGGAGGCAGCAGUGGGGAAUAUUGCCAAAUGGGGGCAAGCCUGAUGCAACGACGCCCGGUGGGGGAAGGCGGGCUUCGGGUUGUGAACUCCUUUCGCUAGGGACGGAGCGUUAUGUGACGGUACCUGCAGAAGAAGCACCGGCUAACUACGUG